rnacentral:rRNA from 1 species
GUUUGAUCCUGGCUCAGGACUAACGCUGGCGGCGUGCCUAACACAUGCAAGUCGUACGGGGCGAGGUCUUCGGACCUCGUUCAGUGGCAGACGGGUGAGUAACACGUAGGUAAUGUACCCUCUCGCUGGGGAUACCUGCCCGAAAGGGCAGUUAAUACCGAAUGAGCCGUUCCUGGGGCAUCUCGGGAACCGCAAACCAGAAAUGGGUGAGAGGAUCAGCCUGCGGACCAUCAGCUAGUUGGUGGGGUAACGGCCCACCAAGGCGACGACGGUUAGCCGGUCUGAGAGGACGAUCGGCCACACUGGGACUGAGACACGGCCCAGACUCCUACGGGAGGCAGCAGUGGGGAAUAUUGCACAAUGGGCGAAAGCCUGAUGCAGCGACGCCGCGUGAGGGAUGACGGCCUUCGGGUUGUAAACCUCUUUCAGUAGGGAAGAAGCGAAAGUGACGGUACCUGCAGAAGAAGCACCGGCUAACUACGUGCCAGCAGCCGCGGUGAUACGUAGGGUGCGAGCGUUGUCCGGAUUUAUUGGGCGUAAAGGGCUCGUAGGUGGUUUGUCGCGUCGUCUGUGAAAUUCCGGGGCUUAACUCCGGGCGUGCAGGCGAUACGGGCAUAACUUGAGUGCUGUAGGGGUAACUGGAAUUCCUGGUGUAGCGGUGAAAUGCGCAGAUAUCAGGAGGAACACCGGUGGCGAAGGCGGGUCUCUGGGCCGUAACUGACGCUGAGGAGCGAAAGCGUGGGGAGCGAACAGGAUUAGAUACCCUGGUAGUCCAUGCCGUAAACGAUGUCUACUAGCCGUUGGGGCCUUUGAGGCUUUAGUGGCGCAGCUAACGCGAUAAGUAGACCGCCUGGGGAGUACGGUCGCAAGACUAAAACUCAAAUGAAUUGACGGGGGCCCGCACAAGCGGUGGAGCAUGUGGUUUAAUUCGAUGCAACGCGAAGAACCUUACCUACUCUUGACAUCCAGAGAAUUCGCUAGAGAUAGCUUAGUGCCUUCGGGAACUCUGAGACAGGUGCUGCAUGGCUG